ensembl:lncRNA
GGGUAAGUAGGUAGGGAGACAGGUGAGUAGACAGGUAGGUGGGUAUACAGGUAAGUAGAUAAGGAGACAGGUGAGUAGACAGGUAGGUGGGUAGAUGGGUAAGUAGAUAGGGAGACAGGUGAGUAGACAGGUAGGUGGGUAGAUGGGUAAGUAGAUAGGGAGACAGGUGAGUAGACAGGUAGGCGGGUUGAUGGGUAAGUACGUAGGGAGACAGGUGAGUAGACUGGUUGGUAGACAGUCAGACAAACAUGUAGAGAGGUAGGUAAGUAGACAGGCAAAACAGACAGGUAGGCAGCUAGACAGGUAGGUAGAUAGGGGGGAAGAAACAGACAUACAGGGAGGUAGGUUGGUAAACAGGUAAGUAGUUAUGUAUGUAGAAGUAUGUAGAAGUAAGUAGGUAGGGAGACAUAUGGGGAGACAAGUGGAUAGACAGCUAAGUUAGGAAGAUGUGUAUGUAAACAGGUAAAUAGUUGGUUAAACAGGUACAGUAAGUACACAGACAAGUGGGGAGACUGGUGGCUAGAAAGGUAGACGGGUGUGCGGACAUGUAGGAAGGUAGACGGGUAGGUAGACAGGUUGGUGGAUAGACAGACAGACAGGAAAGUAAGUACACAGGCACACACACAGAUUGACUGAUGGUGCUGAUUUCUAAAAUAAAUGAUCACUGAAAUAAAACACACUAUAGAUACAGGGUUCUUAGGAUGAUAACGGGAGCAUUUCUGAAAGGGCGACGUUCUAACGCUUCCCUCACAGACACACCGUAAAGAACCCGUUCAGGGUGCCGAACUUAACCGUUCUAGAUAAUAGCUUUAACCUGAAUGAAUGUUGAUCUAAAGCUGAUCAAAAAUACCCAGCCUCUUACAGUAAAGCACAAACACACUGGAAACAUGCACCUCAUCAUCUCAUCAUGGAAACCAGGACAAAUACAAGAUGCUUAUUUCUUUUUGCUGUAA